GGAGCGCCGCGUCUCCUGUCAAUUAGUGUGGGGAAACUAGGGACUGCUGAUUACCGGAGAUGUGGCACAGCGAGCCGCGGUUACCUCUACUUCUGUACCCUGCUGCAUUUUAAUUAGCCCUAGUCCCUCGACAACUUCUUCAGGGCUUCGUUAUUGCCAUCUUCAAGGAACUCAAGUGAACCUGGGGUCAUUCUUGGCUGAGCUCCUGUUCACAAGACUGAAGGGAAAUUCAAAGGCAAUUAGGUUCGAGUGGACAAAUAGUCAUCCGGAAAAGGCCUGAGGAACUCCACCACAACUGGGAAAGCAUCAUAGUUUUUAAACAACUGAGAUGUUCUUUAUCAGUGGGCUCCCCUGGUGACACAGAUGGUAAAGAAUCUCCCUGCAACGCAGGAGACCCAGGUUCCAUCCCUGGGUUGGGAAGAUCUCCUGGAGAACGGCAUGGUAACACUCCAGUAUUCUUGCCUAAAGAAUUCCAUAGGUAAGAGGAGCCUGGCGGGCUACAGUCCAUGCGGUCACAAAAAGCUGGACAUGACUGAGCAACUAACAUUUUCACAGUUGAGCCAUGGCAUGGAAUGAAAUUAACUCUCAAACAGUGUUUUCAGCUACCAACAGGACAUGUUAUACGAUUUCAAAAUACCGUGACUUACACAAAACAUAUUGAAUCGUACUGUUGAAUCCACCUCAUAUUUACUAAAGAUGGUUCCAGCCUGAGUCCCAAAAUGUAUAUCUGGAAAGGAUUCAGAGGCCUGUCCCUGCAUCUUUUCCUUACAGAAUUGUAUCUAGAGGCUUCCUUAGUAAGACUCCAACCCAGCAUUUCAGUGUUGUGAUGAUAUACUUGGAGUACUCCCAUCUCAAUAAAAUUAUUUAUCUCAGAAAUAAAAAUACAUUAACUAGUAAUCACAUUGUCACUUAUUUAAAAAUAAACAUGUAGUUUUGAAAGAAAAGAGCAAUAGCAAUGUUAUAUUAAUACUACUAAAGAAAAAUACAAAUAUUUUUUAUUUGUCCUUUGACUAUUUUUCUUCCAUGGAUUCUAAGACCUUGGGAUGUGGAACCAACUACAAACAAGCAACAAUCAGGCCUUCACUAGUAUUCCCUCAUUAUUUCAGAAUAACUCUGACCAAAUUCCACUUUAACCAC